AUCCGUUGCGGCGCGGCCGGCGCCGGCCGGUCACCGGGGUGGUGCUCAUCCACGACGAGAGUCGAGAGGAGCGAAGAGAUAACGUCACGUGAGUCGUGUGAAAAUGGUCAGUAGGAUUAACCAACCGAUUUCCAGAUAACUUUAGUUGAGUAUCAAAUUCCGUCGUGUUAUGGCGAGGUCAUAUUCUGAGCAUAAACGCCACGUCAGCGCAAGAGGAGAACAUGAGGCCAUGACACGGUGAAGAAAUCAGCGUUGGCGGUGGGUGGGCCCCCAAAACAAACCAGGAGGUCAAUUUGAUUCUCUGGAUUCUGGGCCCAUGGCCUACGCUUCAUUGGUUCAAGCUCCUUCCUCGCCACGGGCAGCGGCCGGCAACCGACAUCCCCAAUCGGCCAAUCCCCACCCCGGAAUGGUCCGCGCCUCGCCUUCUCGAGCGUGCGACGGGGGCAUCCCAAUCCGCGUGUGGAGAUGGAGGCGGCGGCGGCCUCUGGCGAAACCCUAGAUGCCGCUUCCCCCUCCAACCUCGCCGUCGUCGUCCGCAGCGUGGCCGGCCGCAGCCGCAGAGCUGCGCCGCCCGCGGUCUCCGACACGGCAGUGCUCGACAGCUCGCUCCUCCUCGGCUCCCGGGGCCCCGUCGUCGUGUUCUUCAGAAAUUCCUACCAAAUUUGUGAUCUAUCAUGCUACAUUUUUGGCUGUCAUUGAACAUGAGGCGACUGGCAGAAUUGUGAUCUAUGCAGACGUAUGUUGGCAUCAACAGAAAUUCCUACCAAAGUUGUGAUCUAUCAUGCUAUAUUUUGGGCUAUCAUUGAACAAGAGUUUUGCUGAUUACUCUUUCUGCGGGAGUAUUGCUGAUUACCUAUAAUGUGGUAGCUGCUGAUGCUUACCCGAAAUUUGUCCAUCCAUAAUUUUGUCCUGUUAUUAUCUUAGUCUUAUGACUUUAGAUUCUUUAACCAUCAAAUAGUUUCUACCUUAUUUGUGGAUAUUUGGCAUUUACAAGUUCAAUUCAAUGGUUGCGCAAUAGCUAGCUCUUAUUAUGGCUGUAGGUUAGGCUGCUGAUGGGUCAAAACCCUGCUCAAGCCCGUAAAAAUUCUAUUAACAUGUAGCACUGUUCCAUUCUAAGAGCAUCUCCAAGAGAGUAGCUAUUUUUGGCUCUCUAUUUGACUCUCUAAAAAGAUUCCUCACCCUACUGAGUUGUUUACUCCAACAGACUCUUCUUUCCCACUCUCCAAAUCCCAACGGCUCCUUCAACUCUCCCCUUCACACACACACUGACACAUGGGUCCCAUGCGUCAUCCCCUUCCUUUCCCCUUCUUAUCCUCCCCGGCCACCCUCUCCUCUCCCGUUCUAGCCUCCCUUCUCUCCAUCCCCGGCCUCCCCUCCCCACCUCCAUCCCGGCCGGCCCCUCAUCUCCUUCGCUUGUCGUGCUUGCUCGACAGCGCUGCGGUGCAACCGCCGUGCCAGGGGACGGAGCGCGGCAUCCUGCGGCCACCGCUCCUCAUGCGGCGGGGCGAGGCGUCCAUCGGCAGCGUCACGCGGAGGCGAGGGACUCCAGCUGCUGCUGCUGGCUCACGUGGACGUUCUCCUGCAUCAAUUCGGCAGCGUGCACGUGGGCCGGGUUGGAGGAGAAGGCCGACGCGGAGACGUACGGCGACGACAAGGAGGAGGAGAAGGAUGUCACGGCGAGCGCGACGGCCAGGAACAGCAGCAGGCUGAGCGCUACUGAGAACGCCCACCGGCUGUCCAUCAACCAUGCCGCGCUGGCCGGCAGCUUCAGGGACGCCGAGAGUGCCCACCGGAAGUCCAGCGCCAUGGUCGGAGGCGGCCAGGGGGAGCAUGUCGAUGUACGCGUGCUCGCCGGCGGGGUGGGAGGGGGACUUGUCCCAGCGGGAGAUGCGGACGGGAGACGGCAUGCAGUAAGUGGGGCCGAUGCGCGGGAGAAGGCCGAUGGCGAGCUGCGCGAGCUCGGCAAAGAUGCAGAGCGAGGGGAUGGGAUCCCGAGCGAGAGAAAAUAGCGAGGAAGAAAGAGGCACUAUUGGAUGCGGUUUUGAUCUUUUUUUUCUAUAUUUACCGAUCCAGGAUGUUAUACAGAGGCUUUUGGAGUUGCUCUAAGUCAAAUGAUGGCCUAGGAGGCUAGCUAUAUAUUUAGAGUUAAGAGCAGAGCUUUUGAUGGGCUUUCCAAUUUCAGGCGCUAAAAGUGUGCUAACAGGGUGAAGCCGGCCUAAGUGUAUUGAAAUGUUUGUUAUAUGCUACCUGAGUUGUGUAGAAAGACCCAAUCUAAGGCCAGAUGAGUGCCUGGAUUGAGAUGAAUUUAUAUCUAGGGUAUUCGGUCCUUCGUAUUUUGGAGGUACUUUCAUUUUUGGAAGAACUGAUGAUUUGGAAGCAUUAUCGAGUGUGCAUACAUAUCAUGCACACAUUAGCCUCAGGGAUAAUAUUUUCCUACCAUUAUAGUGUGCUAGUUUCGAGGUCCUAUUUUAUCCAUAAUAGUAGUGAAUGGCAACUGGGGUUAGAGGUGGUGCAAGGGUUUCUAUUGGGUCAUUACCUGACAGAAGUUUAUUGCUCUGGUGUACUGUUGUUGGCUGCUACUCUCACCUACCAGUACAAAAAGACAGCCCAUGAGCAAACUUUAUUUCGACCCUGCCCUUAUAGAAAUGUUCAACAGACAGGAUUGGUCCAAGCCCAUUAACAGGCUCAUUAUACUACUUUUCUGUAUUAGCUUAAACUAAACAUGGUUUGAGACUAGCUAUGUAUCGCUGUAUAAUGGUCAUCUGGUUAUUCUGUUAUUUUUGUCAUCUACUGCAUAUCUGAGCCUUUUGAUUUCUCCGUCUAUUAAUUUAUCUGCUUGUUUGGAAGACUCGAAGAGCUAUCAUUGAAUUUUGGUUGUGCAUGGUAGAAAGUUAUGGGCGCUUUGAGGGCAGGUGUGACUAUAUUUGAGUGGCAAGCAAGUCUACCAAAUAAGUUAUAUUUCUGCUUUUCCAAGAAAGGUGCCAAAAAGUAAAAACUUACUUUCAUUACAGCAUAAUCAUUUAACUGAGUAAUUGAGUAUUGAUUGUCAUUUAAACAGUAUUGUUGUUGUUUUUGCACGGUUAAAGUUACUCCCUCUGUCCCAGUAUAUAAGGCGUAACCACCUCUAGUUCAGAGACCAAGGAACAUAUUUAAUUCUCUCUAUCAACGCUAGUAUUACUGCAUCGAUCUACGUGCGUAGAGAGAGAGCGCCUUAUACUAUGAGACUUGAGUAAAAAGUGGUUACGCCUUAUAUAUCAGACGGAGGGAGUAUGUGAACUGCCAAUGACAUCGUUUAGUCAGUUAAAAAUUAAUCCCAAAGCUACGAUACUAGUUACUGUACCUUGUAGUUUCAUUAUGAUGCACUGAUAGUUUUACUGGCAUGCUGAUACCCCAUUCAAUAUACGAAAAGGAGUAAAUUGCUCAUGUAUCUUGCAUUAUUCAAGUCACAACAAUUUAUGCUCUGCAUGACCACUGUACAUGGUAGUAUAUUCUAGUUAAUAGCACCACUAUUCAUUGCCAAUGAUUUGAGUUCCAUGUAUAUGGUUAUUUAUGCUUUUUUAGAGGAUAUGGUGAUUUAUGUUGGCCAAACGUACCAUAGGAUUUUCUGACCAAAGUUCGGAAUUAAUAGCUGAUAUAACUGUACUAUUUAAUGUACCAGAAAUAAGUUGUGGACAGUUGAAGUCUUAAAAGUGUGAGGAUCUGUAGGAAAUUUGAAAAGGUCUAAUACCAUUUUGGAUAUCAUCUGCCACAUGGUGCUCCUACAACCUUAUUGUCUUGUGUACUGGGCUAUGAUACUGAGAACAUUUGGCGCUGUAUGAUAUCAAGAUCCAGCUUCUGAAGGUUCAGAUUGUGAGUUUCGAAGGUGAUGAAACGCAACCUGUCUGAUGAAUCUGUCGUCCACAAAUUGUAUGAAUUGGUCUGGACGAGUUGUACCGAAGCGACGUCUUAUCAAUAGUAUGGGCAUUUGCAACGAAGCCAUAUGGAAUGGACAUUUGUAACGUGCAGAUACCAAGAUAUUUUGUUAUGCAGGCUCAACAGAAGAUAGUAAAAUGAUACAGCCGGCUCAAUGGUAGAGAGUAAAAUAGCUUAACGAACGCCUUGUAGUAUGGACAUUUGUAACGUUUAUACAACCAAUUUUGUCAA